CAGGUGCCCUGUCCAGCUGACUGCAAAGACAGAGAGGAGUCCUGCCCAGCUCUUGGAUCAGUCUGCUUGGCCAAGGAGCCCAGUGGAGCCGGGGGUGACCCUGGAGCCCAGCCUGCCCCGAGGAGGCCCUGGCUCAGAGCCAUGCCAGGUGUCUGUGAUAGGGCCCCUGACUUCCUCUCCCCGUCUGAAGACCAGGUGCUGAGGCCUGCCUUGGGCAGCUCAGUGGCUCUGAACUGCACGGCUUGGGUAGUCUCUGGGCCCCACUGCUCCCUGCCUUCAGUCCAGUGGCUGAAAGACGGGCUUCCAUUGGGAAAUGGGGGCCACUACAGCCUCCACGAGUACUCCUGGCCCUACAAGCCACGUGGCUGCGGUGCUGGCCUCCCUCCUGGUCCUGCUGGCCCUGCUGCUGGCCGCCCUGCUCUAUGUCAAGUGCCGUCUCAACGUGCUGCUCUGGUACCAGGACGCGUAUGGGGAGGUGGAGAUGAACGACGGGAAGCUCUACGACGCCUACGUCUCCUACAGCGACUGCCCCGAGGACCGCAAGUUCGUGAACUUCAUCCUGAAGCCGCAGCUGGAGCGCCGUCGGGGCUACAAGCUUUUCCUGGACGACCGCGACCUCCUGCCGCGCGCUGAGCCCUCCGCCGACCUCUUGGUGAAUCUGAGCCGCUGCCGACGCCUCAUCGUGGUGCUUUCGGACGCCUUCCUGAGCCGGGCCUGGUGCAGCCACAGCUUCC
rnacentral:sRNA from 1 species